rnacentral:rRNA from 1 species
UACGUAGGGGGCUAGCGUUGUCCGGAAUCAUUGGGCGUAAAGCGCGUGUAGGCGGUCCGGUAAGUCCGCUGUGAAAGUCGGGGGCUCAACCCUCGAAUGCCGGUGGAUACUGUCGGGCUAGAGUGCGGAAGAGGCGAGUGGAAUUCCUGGUGUAGCGGUGAAAUGCGCAGAUAUCAGGAGGAACACCGAUUGCGAAGGCAGCUCGCUGGGACGUGACUGACGCUGAGACGCGAAAGCGUGGGGAGCAAACAGG